rnacentral:rRNA from 1 species
AGAUUGAACGCUGGCGGCAUGCUUUACACAUGCAAGUCGAACGGUAACAGGCCGCAAGGUGCUGACGAGUGGCGAACGGGUGAGUAAUGCAUCGGAACGUGCCCAGUCGUGGGGGAUAACGCAGCGAAAGCUGUGCUAAUACCGCAUACGAUCUAUGGAUGAAGGCGGGGGACCGAAAGGCCUCGCGCGAUUGGAGCGGCCGAUGUCAGAUUAGCUAGUUGGUGGGGUAAAGGCCCACCAAGGCGACGAUCUGUAGCUGGUCUGAGAGGACGACCAGCCACACUGGAACUGAGACACGGUCCAGACUCCUACGGGAGGCAGCAGUGGGGAAUUUUGGACAAUGGGCGCAAGCCUGGAUCCAGCAAUGCCGCGUGCAGGAAGAAGGCCUUCGGUUGUAAACUGCUUUUGUACGAACGAAACGGUCUGGUUAAUACCGUCGGACUAAGUCGACGGUACCGUAAGAAUAAGACACCGGACUAACUACGU